GGUUCCGUGGUCUAGUUGGUUACGACGUCUGCUUCACACGCAGAAGGUCCUGGGUUCGAGCCCCAGCGGAGCCA
rnacentral:tRNA from 2 species